CCCAACCCAGCCCAUACCGCCCUUCUCCUGGGCACCAACCCAACAUAGCAGGUAGUUUUCUAGACACUGCCUCAUGGGUUUUGGACAGGACCACCGAAAGCAACAUGGCCCAAGCUCAAGGCUUCAUCCACCAGCAAACUGGUUCCACCACAUGAGUUCUUUGUCUUAGCGAAUGAUACUACUCCCCCCAUAGGGGUUAAAUUGUGUUCCCCGAAAAGUCGUGUAUUGAAGUCCUAAUCUCCAGUCCCUCAUAAUGUGACCUUAUUUGGAAAUAGGGUUGUUGCCGAUGUAAUUAAUUAAGAUGAGGACAUACUGGAGUAGAAGGGGCCUAUUCCAAUAUGACGGAUGUCCUUAUAAAAAGGGGAAAUUUGGACACAGACACAGGAAGGAUGCCAUGUGAAGAGACACAGGGAGCAGAUGGCCAUCUGCAAGCUGAGGAACACCUGAGGUGACCAGAAGCUCGGGGAGAGGCCUGGAAUGGAUCCUUUCGUAGAGCCUUCGGAGGGCGCAUGGCACAAGUAACCCUUUGAUUUCAGACUUCUGACCCCCAGGACCUUGAGACAACAAAUGUCUGUCAUUCUAAGCCACCUAUUUGUGGCACUUUGUUGUGGCAGCCCUAAGAAACGAACACAUCUCCGUUAGACAUUGUCCAAGAAAGCAGCCUAGAUGCUCCCACUGAAUCCUCCCCUCCAUCGCCGCCUCUACCCUCUGCCUGCAGCUGUAUCCUGUAAACCACCGAACUCCGUCCAUUCCCCCUGCAGGACACCUUUGCCAGGAACCCACUUGUCUUCAUUCCUGCUGCUGCCACCUAGGAGCAGGCCACCAUUAUUUCACCAGAAUCCUUCCUCGCUGCUGUCCUAUCUCCAAUAACAUCUGCUGCCUAUCUGUUCCUCGAAUUGCAUCCAGAAUCAUCUUUCAACAUACAAAUCUGAGAUGCUUCUUCCCUGCUUAAACCCUCUGACACUCCUCCUUCCUCUGAGGAUGAAGUUUAGCCCUCCUGACGGGCUCAAAAGGCACAGGUGAGGUCAGUCCAGAGGGGAGACAACAGUGUGGACAAAGAAGUUCAGCGACACAGAACUAGGACUCAGUUUGACUCAGUUUGAGGUGGUGGGGGACCAUUUCACAGAGGCAAUGACACUUCAGCUGGGCAUUAUAAGACCUCAAUGACUUUGCCUACACGUGAAAGAGUGAAAAGCAAGUCUGCGAUCCCUUUUUGCGGUCAGGGAAGGGAUGACACACCCAGAGAUGCUGCUCUGCGGCUCAGGAUGUUCCUUGGAGAUCCGAGUUCCAUUCGCUCCUGAGGUUAAGACUUGUUACUGCUUCGGGGCCACCAGCUAAACACUUGACAUUUCUGCUGAGGCUGAACAUCUGGAUAAUAACAGCUGGGAUCACACUGCAUCUCCCUCUCCCAAAUAAACCCUGACAAUUCUCAGGAGAACACAGGCG
ensembl:lncRNA